UACGAAGGGGACUAGCGUUGUUCGGAAUCACUGGGCGUAAAGCGCACGUAGGUGGAUGAUUAAGUCAGGGGUGAAAGCCCGAGGCUCAACCUCGGAAUUGCCUCUGAUACUGGUUGUCUAGAGUCCGAGAGAGGUGGGUGGAAUUCCUAGUGUAGAGGUGAAAUUCGUAGAUAUUAGGAAGAACACCGGUGGCGAAGGCGGCCCACUGGCUCGGUACUGACACUGAGGUGCGAAAGCGUGGGGAGCAAACAGG
rnacentral:rRNA from 1 species